rnacentral:rRNA from 1 species
CCUACGGGAGGCAGCAGUGGGGGAUAUUGCACAAUGGGGGAAACCCUGAUGCAGCGACGCCGCGUGGGUGAAGAAGCGCCUCGGCGCGUAAAGCCCUGUCAGCAGGGAAGAAAAUGACGGUAUCUGAAGAAGAAGCCCCGGCUAACUACGUGCCAGCAGCCGCGGUAAUACGUAGGGGGCAAGCGUUAUCCGGAUUUACUGGGUGUAAAGGGGGCGCAGACGGCGAUGCAAGCCAGGAGUGAAAGCCCGGGGCCCAACCCCGGGACUGCUGUUGGAACUGCGUGGCUAGAGUGCAGGAGGGGCAGGCGGAAUUCGUGGUGUAGCGGUGAAAUGCGUAGAUAUCAGGAGGAACACCGGUGGCGAAGGCGGCCUGCUGGACUGCAACUGACGUUGAGGCCCGAAAGCGUGGGGAGCAAACAGGAUUAGAUACCCGAGUAGUC